GAUGAACGCUGACAGAAUGCUUAACACAUGCAAGUCAACUUGAAUUUGGGUUUUUAACUUAGGUUUGGGUGGCGGACGGGUGAGUAACGCGUAAAGAACUUGCCUCACAGCUAGGGACAACAUUUGGAAACGAAUGCUAAUACCUAAUAUUAUGAUAAUAGGGCAUCCUAUAAUUAUGAAAGCUAUAAGCGCUGUGAGAGAGCUUUGCGUCCCAUUAGCUAGUUGGAGAGGUAACGGCUCACCAAGGCGAUGAUGGGUAGCCGGCCUGAGAGGGUGAUCGGCCACAAGGGGACGGAGACACGGCCCUUACCCCUACGGGAGGCAGAAGUGGGGAAUAUUGGACAAGGGACCAAGAGUGUGAUCGAGACAUCCUGUGUGCAAGAUGAAGUUUUUCGGAAUGUAAAGUGCUUUCAGUUGGGAAGAAAGAAAUGACGGUACCAACAGAAGAAGUGACGGCUAAAUACGUG
rnacentral:rRNA from 1 species